GACGAACGCUGGCGGCGUGCUUAACACAUGCAAGUCGAACGGACAGGCCCUGCUCUUGCGGGGUGCUCGAGUGGCGAACGGGUGAGUAACACGUGAGUAACCUGCCCUUGACUUUGGGAUAACUUCAGGAAACUCGGGCUAUUACCGGGUAGGAGCUCUUGCACCACGGUGUGGAUAGGAAAGUUUCGGUGGUUCGGGAUGGACUGGCGGCUUAUCAGCUUGUUGGUGGAGUUGUGGCUUACCAAGGUUUUGACGGGUAGGCGGCCUGAGAGGGUGACCGGCCACCUGGGGCCUGAGAUACGCCCCAGAAUCCUACGGGACGCAGCAGGGGGGAAUAUUGCACAAUGGGCGGAAGCCUGAGGCAGCAACGCCGCGUGCGGAAUGACGGCCUUCGGGUUGUAAACCGCUUUCGCCUGUGACGAAGCGUGAGUGACGGUAAUGGGUAAAGAAGCACCGGCUAACUACGUG
rnacentral:rRNA from 1 species